rnacentral:rRNA from 1 species
GACGAACGCUGGCGGCGUGCCUAACACAUGCAAGUCGAGCGGGGAAAACCCUUCGGGGUUUUCUAGCGGCGGACGGGUGAGUAACGCGUGAGCAAUCUGUCCCAUACAGGGGGAUAACAACUGGAAACAGUUGCUAAUACCGCAUGAGACCACAGAGCCGCAUGGUUCAGGGGUCAAAGGAGCAAUCCGGUAUGGGGUGAGCUCGCGUCCGAUUAGCUAGUUGGUGAGGUAACGGCCCACCAAGGCAACGAUCGGUAGCCGACCUGAGAGGGUGAUCGGCCACAUUGGAACUGAGACACGGUCCAA